rnacentral:tRNA from 1 species
GGGCCCGUAGCUCAGCUUGGCCAGAGCGUCCGGCUUUUAACCGGCAGGUCAGGGGUUCAAAUCCCCUCGGGCCCG